CCUACGGGUGGCAGCAGUAGGGAAUAUUGCUCAAUGGGGGAAACCCUGAAGCAGCAACGCCGCGUGGAGGAUGAAGGUUUUCGGAUUGUAAACUCCUUUUGUUAGAGAAGAUAAUGACGGUAUCUAACGAAUAAGCACCGGCUAACUCCGCGCCAGAAGCCGCGGUAAUACGGAGGGUGCAAGCGUUACUCGGAAUCACUGGGCGUAAAGAGCGCGUAGGCGGGAUAGCAAGUCAGAUGUGAAAUCCUAUGGCUUAACCAUAGAACUGCAUUUGAAACUGUUAUUCUAGAGUAUGGGAGAGGUAGGUGGAAUUCUUGGUGUAGGGGUGAAAUGCGUAGAGAUCAAGAGGAAUACUCGUGGCGAAGGCGACCUGCUAGAACAUAACUGACGCUGAUGCGCGAAAGCGUGGGGAGCAAACAGGAUUAGAUACCCUUGUAGUC
rnacentral:rRNA from 1 species